GAUGAAGAACGUAGUGAAAUGCGAUAAGUAAUGUGAAUUGCAGAAUUCAGUGAAUCAUCGAAUCUUUGAACGCACCUUGCGCCCUUUGGCCAUUCCGAAGGGCAUGCCUGUUUGAGUAUCAUGAACACCUCAACUCUUCAUGGUUUUCCAUGAUGAGCUUGGACUUUGGGGGUCUUGCUGGCCUGUGGGUCGGCUCCUCUCAAAUGAAUCAGCUUGCCGGUUUUUGGUGGGCAUCACAGGUGUGAUAACUAUCUACGCUUGUGGUUUUCCACCAGGGUAACCUUCAGCAGUGGAGGUUCACUGGAGCUUACAAAUGUCUCUCCUCUGUGAGGACAGCCCUUUGAAUGUUUGAUCUCAAAUCAGGUAGGACUACCCGCUGAACUUAAGCAUAUCAAUAAGCGAGGA
rnacentral:misc_RNA from 1 species